GUCCAGGUUGAUGAUGCCUUUCCGCCUCCGCUUGUUCAUGUCAUUCUCUUCGGUUUGGGCAUCUCCCUGCAACGGCAAAGAAAGCCUGCACGGUUAUUAACGGUCUGCCCAUGGUCUCCCUAUGGACAAACUCUGCUGCCUGAAUCUGGACCUCUAGAUCAGGGAAACUCCGCUUUAUCCAACCCCACAGGCAAACACCAUCCUGCUGUCUCUGGAGGGAAGGAGGAGGACUUUCUGGCACUGAGAAGAGAAAUCAGCCUGAAGCAGAUGCUUAAUAACUGCUGUUGAAGGAGUGGAUAGAUGGAUAGAAGCAGCACUUUCUUGAUAAAGAGGCCCCGGCCCCACUACAGGGGACCUGGAGAGCUGUGAGUAUAAACACCAUGCAGUGGAGACACCGUCAGUGUGGACACCCCAAGCAGGAGUGCAGGGACCUGGCUGAGAAAGCAGACCUCCAGGCUGCACGUGGCUGAGCACCCAUCUGCCCCAGGCUGCUGCACUGGGAGUCUCAGGUCCUGGAAAAAUUUCUGAUUGAAGAUGAAGGCCACCCCGCUAAUCUCUUCCACCUUGGCCUCAGCCGUGCUGUUCCUGUUGA